rnacentral:lncRNA from 1 species
GGGGAAGUUCUCUCUCAUACGAGUGAGACCAAUUCAAAGGAGUUCCUGGUGUUGAGAUCUCCUUCCAAGGACCAGUUCCUGGAGGACCAAUAGGUUUUGGCAUGAACCAUGGUUGAUCGGACAUGGAUGAUAUGAGAGCAUCAGACCGCUGCUUAAAUCUUGAAAUCCCUGUACUUGCAAGCCUCUGUCAUUACAUCAAGUAUAUCAUUAACCGCUGGCUGACAUCUAAAUUUGGUGAAUAAAACAAUUCUUGAUCGGACAUGGAUGAUAUGAGAGCGCCAGACCGUUGCUUAAAUCUUGAAAACUCUGUACUUGCAAGCUCCUGUGCAGCCUCUGUCAUUACAUCAAGUAUCAUUAGCCGCUGGCUGACAUCUAAAGUUGGU